UGGGAACUGCGGAAGAUCCACAGGGCUGCC
rnacentral:piRNA from 1 species